GGGGUUGUGGUUCAGUGGUAGAGCACUCACCUAGAAUGUGUGAGGCCCUGGGUUCAAUCCUCAACACUA
rnacentral:tRNA from 1 species